rnacentral:lncRNA from 13 species
AUGCCGUGGACCUGCUGGGUGGCCUCAGGUCUACAAUUUCCCCUAUUUCACAAACCUGACUGUGCCUCAAGUUCUGUGCAUGGACUCUCAGGUCCCUAUGUAGCCACCUUUUCUAGAUGCCUCCUUGCUUUCUUGCUGAGUGAGGAAGUGCCACCAUCAAUAAAGGAGGUGAGAACAUUUUGGCAAAUCCUAGCACAUCAGAGAUCGUCUGGGCUAGUGGUCUACAUGCUAGUGUCUUGGUAGUUUUCAUGGAAGGAAGAAGGGUGGGGUCCCACUAUCCCUGCUUUUUCAGAGCACCUCCCCUCCUAUUUCCUUCCAUAUGGAACCGAGCUUUUAAAAUUAGUUUUGCCUUUAAAAUUAGUGUUUUAUUUUCCUCUACUUCACACAGAAAGUGGUAGAGACUAAUACAGAGGUAUGCUGAAGCUGGUUCAUUCUGGCUCCCAAAAACCUAUUGUGUGCAUCUUUUCCCCAACUCUGUAAUCAGUGAAAUCAAGUUGAUAGCUUGGAAUUGGCCAUGGUGGGAGUAUUUAUAUCAUGAAAACUGGCCAACACUACAAAUCAGGGUUUUCUCCUAGGAAAACCAGUUGUUAAACAUUUACUGGCCGGGUGAGGUGGCUCAUGCCUGUAAUCCCUGCACUUCGGGAGGCUGAGACGGGAGUUCGAGACCAGCCUGACCAACAUGGAGAAACCCUGUCUCUACUAAAAAUACAAAAUUACCUGGACAUAGUGGCAUAUGCCCUGUAGUUCCAGCUACUCAGGAGACUGAGGCGAAAGAAUUGCUUGAACCCAGGAAGGGGAAGUUGCGGUGAGCCGAGAUUAUAUCGUUGCACUCCAGCCUGGGCAACAAGAGCAAAAUUCCGUCUCAAAAAAAAAUGUAUCAGCACACUACCAGACUAAUAUUAAUAUAAACAAACACUGUGUACCCACCACCUAGCUUUGACAUCUUAAGAUUUUGCUAUAUUUGUUUUAGACCUUUUAUUUUAAAGUUAAAAUAAUACAGACAGUUGGUCCCAUCUGUAUUACCCUCUACAAUCCCAUUCAUUUGCUUUCUGUUCCAGAAAUACAGACCUAUCCCAAACUUGGUGUUUAUCAUGUUUUAAAAAUAUUUUUACUACAUAUGUGUCCAUAAAUAAUACAUGGUAUUGUUUUGCAUAUUCUUAGAUUUAUAACCAUGAUAUUAUACCAUAUGUAUCAUUCCAC